rnacentral:rRNA from 1 species
AUUCCGGAGAGGGAGCCUGAGAAACGGCUACCACAUCUAAGGAAGGCAGCAGGCGCGUAAAUUACCCACUCCCAGUUCGGGGAGGUAGUGACGAAAAAUAACAAUACAGGACUCAUAUCCGAGGCCCUGUAAUUGGAAUGAGUACACUUUAAAUCCUUUAACAAGGACCAAUUGGAGGGCAAGUCUGGUGCCAGCAGCCGCGGUAAUUCCAGCUCCAAUAGCGUAUAUUAAAGUUGUUGCGGUUAAAACGUUCGUAGUUGAAUUUGUGCUUCAUACGGGUAGUACAACUACAAUUGUGGCUUGUACAUUACCUUAUGUAUGUAAGCGUAUUACCGGUGGAGUUCUAAUAUUUAUUGAUACUUGUAUCUUUAUUUAUACCUCCUAUUUAAACCUGCUUCAGUGCUCUUUACCGAGUGCUGUUGUGGGCCGGUACAAUUACUUUGAACAAAUUAGAGUGCUUAAAGCAGGCUCCAAAUGCCUGAAUAUUUUGUGCAUGGAAUAAUGAAAUAAGACUUCUGAUCUACUUUCAUUGGUUUUUAGAUCAAGAGGUAAUGAUUAAUAGAAGCAGUUUGGGGGCAUUAGUAUUACGACGCGAGAGGUGAAAUUCUUGGACCGUCGUAAGACUAACUUAAGCGAAAGCAUUUGCCAAAGAUGUUUUCAUUAAUCAAGAACGAAAGUUAGAGGUUCGAAGGCGA